UAAGGCCCCAUAUGCUUUAUAGUGAAACGGAUUCCUCCGCCUGGAGCAAAGCUCGCGUCUGAUUAGCUUGUUGGUAAGGUAAUGGCUUACCAAGGCGACGAUCAGUAGCUGGUUUGAGAGGAUGAUCAGCCACACUGGAACUGAGACACGGUCCAAACUCCUACGGGAGGCAGCAGUGGGGAAUUUUCUGCAAUGGGCGAAAGCCUGACAGAGCAAUACCGCGUGAGGGAUGAAGGCCCGUGGGUCGUAAACCUCUUUUUUCAAGGAGGAAGUUCUGACGUGUACUUGAAAAAUAAGCAUCGGCUAACUCCGUGCCAGCAGCCCCGGUAAGACGGAGGAUGCAAGUGUUAUCCGGAAUUACUGGGCGUAAAGCGUCUGUAGGUGGUUUAGUAAGUCGAUUGUUAAAUCUUGAGGCUUAACUUCAAAACAGCAAUGGAAACUGCUAGACUUGAGUAUGGUAGAGGUAAAAGGAAUUUCCAGUGGAGCGGUGAAAUGCGUAUAUAUUGGAAAGAACACCGAUGGCGAAGGCAUUUUACUGGGCCAUAACUGACACUCAGAGACAAAAGCUAGGGUAGCAAAAGG
rnacentral:rRNA from 1 species